CGCCAUCUUUGCUGUUUGGAAAACGGCCAUUCCAGCCUGCGAGCUUUGGAGAGACCAAGCCCCCUGAGGCAGAGGCCGCGCCUCAGCAUGUUACAGCUGUUUUGUUGAGGUGUGGUGAGGUUGCUUCUUUAAAUGCGACCCUGAUACAUUCCUCCUCCCUGGGCAGGUCCUUCCCUCUGGAGCCUCCAGCCACCCCUGCCUGUGUUCUGUUGCGGAAAGACUUCUAAUUUCUCCUUGGGGCAGAGUGCCUGCGGAGUGGGGCGGGCCGCCGCCUUGGCUGUUUGUGAAGCGGCAUCGUUGUCUGGGGUAUGAUUUAAUACACUUUACCGACCUGAAUUCAUUGGAUAUAUGUAAAAAUGAAGGAAUGCACGUUAUUCUGCUUGAUGCUCUGCAGAGAGGAGCUGCCUGAGAGGUUGCACCUGCAGUCCUGGAUGCACUGGCCCCAGGGGUGGUUGGUGCUGACUCCACAUUUGUCUAAUAAGAUGUCCAGAUACAAAAAUGUCUGUGAUGUGGGAACCGUUACAGAUCUAGGAGAGUUUUUUCAACAGCAAAAAAAGCAAAGCCUGUUUCUGUCAAAGUCUUUUAUUUUAUUUUUGAAUUUGACCUUUUAAAAUAAGAUUAAAACAUUCCAUCAAGACUCCCUUUA
rnacentral:lncRNA from 1 species